rnacentral:rRNA from 1 species
AUUGAACGCUGGCGGCAGGCCUAACACAUGCAAGUCGAACGAGUGGCGGACGGGUGAGUAAUGUCUGGGAAACUGCCUGAUGGAGGGGGAUAACUACUGGAAACCGUAGCUAAUACCGCAUACCAUCGGAUGUGCCCAGAUGGGAUUAGCUAGUAGGUGGGGUAAAGGCUCACCUAGGCGACGAUCCCUAGCUGGUCUGAGAGGAUGACAGGCCAAACUGGAACGGGGACACGCUCCGGACUCCGACGGGGGGCAGCAGUGGGGAAUAUUGCACAAGGGGCGCAGGCCUGAGACAGCCAUGCCGCGGGUAUGAAGAGGGCCUUCGGGUUGUAAAGUACUUUCAGCGGGGAGGCGUUACCCGCAGAAGAAGCACCGGCUAACUCCGUGCCAGCAGCCGCGGUAAUUC